rnacentral:rRNA from 1 species
ACUUGAAUAUUAGUAGUUAUGGGCUUUAAAUUCAAAGAAUUUGGCGGUAUUUUAGUCUUGUUAGAGGAACCUGUUCUGUAAACGAUACAACACGAAAAAUCUUACUUACUUUUGUUUAACAGUUUGUAUACCGUCAUUAUUAGAUUACCUUCGUAGAGAAAGUUAUUGAAAUUUAAGAAGUUGAAGUAUAUUAGAUCAAGGUGCAGUUCAUAAGUAAGAAGAAAUGGGUUACAAUAAAAUUUAUUUAUACGUAUCAGUAAUUGAAUAGUUUCUGUGAAGGAGGAUUUAAUUGUAACAUAUAAUUUAAUAAGUUAGUGUGAUAUGAGAACUAAAAUAUGUACAUAU